GUCGAGAAUUUUUCUCAAUGGGGGAAACCCUGAAGGAGCGACGCCGCGUGGAGGAUGAAGGUCUUCGGGUUGUAAACUCCUGUCAUUUGAGAACAAGGCGCACGUAUUAACUGUACGUGCGUUGAUAGUAUCAGAAGAGGAAGGGACGGCUAACUCUGUGCCAGCAGCCGCGGUAAUACAGAGGUCCCAAGCGUUGUUCGGAUUCAUUGGGCGUAAAGGGUGCGUAGGUGGCGCUGUAAGUCAGGUGUGAAAUCUCGGGGCUUAACUCCGAAACUGCAUUUGAUACUGCGGUGCUUGAGGACUGGAGAGGAGACUGGAAUUUACGGUGUAGCAGUGAAAUGCGUAGAGAUCGUAAGGAAGACCAGUGGCGAAGGCGGGUCUCUGGACAGUUCCUGACACUGAGGCACGAAGGCCAGGGGAGCAAACGGGAUUAGAUACCCUUGUAGUCC
rnacentral:rRNA from 1 species